rnacentral:snoRNA from 14 species
CACUCCUGUUUCUGCCUCAGAUUCUUAUGUUUCCAUAGAAUUAUGGGUUCUGUUUAUGGAGAAGAUUAAGCCUGUUAACGGAGCUUGGACACUUUUGAUACAACCGUCCAUGUUCUUUUAGCAGGAUCGUGUGGUUAGAUUUGUCCGUGUGUGAUACACUCGAUAAUGGUUAGUUCCAAAUGACGAGAAAAUCUGGCAAAUCUCCACUACAUAU